rnacentral:lncRNA from 1 species
GUGCAUUUGGCUCUGUUUUGCUGUGCUGUGCCUUUAAGAAGGUUUUCUGAGGACUGAUGAUACCCCAAGGGACCUCUAGAGGGAGAGAGAAUAUUUGGUGGUCCUUUUAAAUUUGGGAACACAGUAUGUUUGGUCCAUUUUCCCAAAGAUUGAGGCCAUUAAAAACCACAAUCAGGACACAAGAUCUGUUGGCUCUUUGGAUGUGGAUGUGUGCCAAAUCAACAAAGAGCUUUGGGGCUCUACAGCCCUCUCUCCUCUGACUUGAUGCACAUGCAGGUUGCCAGAUUGACAACGCCAACAUCGAGCCUUACAUUGUGAGCUGAUAAGUGAAGUUGGCAUCCUGUCAUCACGGCAUUGAGCUGCAAGAGCAUUUUUCCAAGUCCCAACGGUGUCAACAGAAAACCCCGAACAUCUCAAGAGAGCCGAUAGUGUCAUGUGCGUCUGUUCAACACCAGCAAUCACCCGUGCCAUUAAAGAUUGAAGAGCAACAGUCUCUUUCAGCACACUAACAUUACGCCAAGGCAAACAGCAAGAGUGGAGACUGGAGAAAAGAAAAGGGCAGCGAGAAAGCUAGAAAUAGACAUUGCAUAAAGUCAGAACCAUGCGUUUGGUUUUGCGACAGUGUUUGGGUCGAUGGCGCUUUUGGUUGUCGCAGGACUCUGACAGAUAAACAGACGGAUGUGUCGUCCCCUCAGUGGAGGAAAUCUGCUCUCCGUAUAGAGCCAAACUGACAUCAGAGAUACCAUGUGUGAACGCAACAUGCGACAAAACAGAGAGAAGUGCGAGUUCUCCUGGAAAUGCACAUGAUGACACAAUGUAGAGCAAAUGCAUGGAUGCUGAGGCUGGGAGAUUGUUACGAUUUCAUUGAUUGAUUUUGAUGUAAUGUUUUGAAAGCUAAAUGGUACAAUUAAAUAUGUUGUAUAUGCAACAGUGAUGAUAAAUGCAAUAGCCAAACGAAUGAAAGCUUGUUUCUAAUAAUAAAUAUAAUAGAGAAAAACUAAUUUGUCAAAAUUGGACUCUCUUAGAAAAUUAAAUUUUGGAGUCACAAUUUGGACUUGUAAAAAUUGUGUGCAUCUCGAAUUUUUAAAUUAUGAAUAUGCAAGUGGGUGUUUUGCAACUCUGACUUGUUUUCUUAGAGUAUUUAGAUUUUAUGAGUUUUACCUUCAGAUCUGAGGUGUAGAGAUGUAAA